rnacentral:rRNA from 1 species
AGUGAACGCUGGCGGUAGGCCUAACACAUGCAAGUCGAACGGCAGCACAGUAAGAGCUUGCUCUUACGGGUGGCGAGUGGCGGACGGGUGAGGAAUACAUCGGAAUCUACUUUUUCGUGGGGGAUAACGUAGGGAAACUUAGGCUAAUACCGCAUACGACCUACGGGUGAAAGCAGGGGAUCUUCGGACCUUGCGCGAUUGAAUGAGCCGAUGUCGGAUUAGCUAGUUGGCGGGGUAAAGGCCCACCAAGGCGACGAUCCGUAGCUGGUCUGAGAGGAUGAUCAGCCACACUGGAACUGAGACACGGUCCAGACUCCUACGGGAGGCAGCAGUGGGGAAUAUUGGACAAUGGGCGCAAGCCUGAUCCAGCCAUACCGCGUGGGUGAAGAAGGCCUUCGGGUUGUAAAGCCCUUUUGUUGGGAAAGAAAAGCAGCAGGUUAAUACCCCGCUGUUCUGACGGUACCCAAAGAAUAAGCACCGGCUAACUUCGUG